rnacentral:misc_RNA from 1 species
GAUGAAGAACGCAGCGAAAUGCGAUAAGUAAUGUGAAUUGCAGAAUUCAGUGAAUCAUCGAAUCUUUGAACGCACAUUGCGCCCGCUGGUAUUCCGGCGGGCAUGCCUGUUCGAGCGUCAUUUCAACCCUCAAGCUCUCCGGAGUUUGGUGUUGGGGCGCCUGGGGCUUUUCGACCUCAGGGCCCUCAAGUCCAUCGGCGGGACCGCCAGGACACUGAGCGCAGUAGUAUUAUUUCGCUCGGUAGGAUCUUCCACGGCGGGUCGAUCUGGCCGCUAAACCCCCCAAUUCUCACCAAAGGUUGACCUCGGAUCAGGUAGGAAUACCCGCUGAACUUAAGCAUAUCAAUAAGCAGAGGA